rnacentral:rRNA from 1 species
UACAGAGGGGGCAAGCGUUAUUCGGAAUUAUUAGGCGUAAAGGGCGCGUAGGCGGCUUGGCAAGUGGAAGGUGAAAUCCCUCGGCUUAACCGAGGAACUGCCCUCCAAACUGCUUUGCUUGAGGCCGGGAGAGGUGAGUGGAAUUCCCAGUGUAGCGGUGAAAUGCGUAGAUAUUGGGAGGAACACCAGUGGCGAAGGCGGCUCACUGGACCGGUUCUGACGCUGAUGCGCGAAAGCGUGGGGAGCAAACGGG